GACAGAGGGUGCAAACGUUGCUCGGAAUUACUGGGCGUAAAGCGCGUGUAGGCGGACUGAUAAGUCAGGUGUGAAAUCCCUGGGCUCAACCCAGGAACUGCACUUGAAACUGCCAGUCUUGAGUGAUGGAGAGGAUGGCGGAAUUCCUGGUGUAGAGGUGAAAUUCGUAGAUAUCAGGAGGAACGACCGGUGGCGAAGGCGGCCAAGUCUGGAAAUCU
rnacentral:rRNA from 1 species